rnacentral:lncRNA from 1 species
UAUAAGGAUAUGUGUAAAGAUAUUGACAGCAACAGUGAAAGCUCUAUAGACAGUGCGCAGUUUCCUCAUUCCAAUGCUAACAGUUAAAGCAUCUUGCCACUAGAAAAACAGAAAGAAUCUUUUGCUUUAUUGCUUUUCUUUUAUAAGUCACGAGUAUGUACUGUAUUAAUGCAUUAUUAGUUUGUAUUGUAACUGUGUUUGUCUGUUCUUAUCUAGUGUAACUAUGUUUGUCUUUUCUUAUCUUCUUUGCCUAUAAAAGGCGAUGUAUUUCAUCUUGUAAAGGCAUCGAGUUUCCAUCUAAUAAAAUUUCCAGUGUGUUUUCUUAUACUAUGGCUUUCUAACCUCUUUUCUUUCUUCUCUGGGUUUAAGCAAGGAUAAGAAGAAUUAUGAAUUUUAUGAAUGAUUCUUAAGUCUUGAAAGUAUGUUCUGUGCUUGCCAUUUAUUGGAUCCUACGCAACAGAACUUAGACUUGGAUCUAAGAUACUAGCUUGUUUUGAUUCAAGAAGAUGUUUUGAGUUAAGGUUUUAUAUCUAAAAGGUAGUGUUUGUUGAAUGGUAGUGAAAAAGGCCCAUGUUUUGGCAUAGCUUACCUGCUAUCUAACCUUGAUUCUUAAUUCUCUUCUUGGGUCAACCCAAAUUGCUCAGAAAUCAUUUAUUGUCGAAAGCAAAAUCACAUGUUUUAAGGCUUCAAACCAUGAUCUGUUUAUAAAUAUGAGUAAAUAUAAAAGGAAUUUGAUUAAAUUAAAUAUCUCAAAUUAUGUUUUGACUUGGGUGAAAAAAAUAAAAUUAUGUAAUAAAUAUAAUUAUAAAAUUUUAAUAUGAAAAAAAUGAAUUUUUAGUUUAAAAAAAUAGCAUUAUCUAACAAAUAUAUGUAUAGAAAUUUGAUAUAAAAAAUAAAUGAGAUUUGAGUUGAAAUGAUAAGUAAUAUUUGAUAUAAAAAACAAAUGAAAUUUUAGGUGAAAU